CCUACGGGAGGCAGCAGUGAGGAAUAUUGGUCAAUGGCCGUAAGGCUGAACCAGCCAAGUCGCGUGAGGGAUGAAGGUUCUAUGGAUUGUAAACCUCUUUUAUAAGGGAAUAAAGUGCGCGACGUGUGGCGUUUUGCAUGUACCUUAUGAAUAAGCAUCGGCUAACUCCGUGCCAGCAGCCGCGGUAAUACGGAGGAUGCGAGCGUUAUCCGGAUUUAUUGGGUUUAAAGGGUGCGUAGGCGGGCUUUUAAGUCAGCGGUGAAAGUUUGUGGCUCAACCAUAGAAUUGCCGUUGAAACUGGGAGGCUUGAGUGUGUGUGAGGCAGGCGGAAUGCGUGGUGUAGCGGUGAAAUGCUUAGAUAUCACGCAGAACCCCGAUUGCGAAGGCAGCCUGCCAAGCCAUAACUGACGCUGAUGCACGAAAGCGUGGGGAUCAAACAGGAUUAGAUACCCCUGUAGUC
rnacentral:rRNA from 1 species